rnacentral:rRNA from 1 species
AAUGAUGGCGACCCAAACCUUCGCCAGAGUACCAAUUGGAGGGCAAGUCUGGUGCCAGCAGCCGCGGUAAUUCCAGCUCCAAUAGCGUAUAUAAAACUUGUUGCAGUUAAAAAGCUCGUAGUUGAACUUCGGCCUUGCGCGUCCUGCGGGUCUGCGCGCGGCCUUUGCGUUACUUUGAAAAAAUUAGAGUGUUUCAAGCAGGCUUUCGCCGUGAAUACUUGAGCAUGGAAUAACUGGGCAGGACCUUGGUUCUUCUUUGUUGGUUUUGUACCUGGGUAAUGGUUAAUAGGAACGGUUGGGGGCAUUCGUAUUUAACUGUCAAAGGGAAAUUCUUAGA